rnacentral:rRNA from 1 species
AACGAACGCUGGCGGCAUGCCUAACACAUGCAAGUCGAACGAGACCUUCGGGUCUAGUGGCGCACGGGGGCGUAACGCGGGGGAACCUGCCCGUAGGUUCGGAAUAACUCCCCGAAAGGGGUGCUAAUACCGGAUAAUGUCUUCGGACCAAAGAUUUAUCGCCUUUGGAUGGGCCGGCGUUGGAGUAGCUAGUUGGUAGGGUAAAAGCCUACCAAGGCGACGAUCCAUAGCUGGUCUGAGAGGAUGAUCAGCCACACUGGGACUGAGACACGGCCCAGACUCCUACGGGAGGGAGCAGUGGGGAAUAUUGGAAAAUGGGCGAAAGCCUGAUCCAGCAAUGCCGCGUGAGUGAUGAAGGCCUUAGGGUUGUAAAGCUCUUUUACCCGGGAUGAUAAUGACAGUACCGGGAGAAUAAGCUCCGGCUAACUCCGUG